AUGAACGCUAGCGACAGGCUUAACACAUGCAAGUCGAGGGGCAGCACUGGUAGCAAUACCGGGUGGCGACCGGCGCACGGGUGAGUAACGCGUAUGCAACUUACCUAUCAGAGGGGGAUAACCCGGCGAAAGUCGGACUAAUACCGCAUGAAGCAGGGGCCCCGCAUGGGGAUAUUUGCUAAAGAUUCAUCGCUGAUAGAUAGGCAUGCGUUCCAUUAGGCAGUUGGCGGGGUAACGGCCCACCAAACCGACGAUGGAUAGGGGUUCUGAGAGGAAGGUCCCCCACAUUGGUACUGAGACACGGACCAAACUCCUACGGGAGGCAGCAGUGAGGAAUAUUGGUCAAUGGGCGUAAGCCUGAACCAGCCAAGUCGCGUGAGGGAUGAAGGUUCUAUGGAUCGUAAACCUCUUUUAUAAGGGAAUAAAGUGCGGGACGUGUCCCGUUUUGUAUGUACCUUAUGAAUAAGGAUCGGCUAACUCCGUGCCAGCAGCCGCGGUAAUACGGAGGAUCCGAGCGUUAUCCGGAUUUAUUGGGUUUAAAGGGUGCGUAGGCGGCCUUUUAAGUCAGCGGUGAAAGUCUGUGGCUCAACCAUAGAAUUGCCGUUGAAACUGGGGGGCUUGAGUAUGUUUGAGGCAGGCGGAAUGCGUGGUGUAGCGGUGAAAUGCUUAGAUAUCACGCAGAACCCCGAUUGCGAAGGCAGCCUGCCAAGCCAUGACUGACGCUGAUGCACGAAAGCGUGGGGAUCAAACAGGAUUAGAUACCCUGGUAGUCCACGCAGUAAACGAUGAUCACUAGCUGUUUGCGAUACAGCGUAACCGGCACAGCGAAAGCGUUAAGUGAUCCACCUGGGGAGUACGCCGGCAACGGUGAAACUCAAAGGAAUUGACGGGGGCCCGCACAAGCGGAGGAACAUGUGGUUUAAUUCGAUGAUACGCGAGGAACCUUACCCGGGUUUGAACGCAUUCGGACCGAGGUGGAAACACCUUUUCUAGCAAUAGCCGUUUGCGAGGUGCUGCAUGGUUGUCGUCAGCUCGUGCCGUGAGGUGUCGGCUUAAGUGCCAUAACGAGCGCAACCCUUGCCACUAGUUACUAACAGGUGAUGCUGAGGACUCUGGUGGGACUGCCAGCGUAAGCUGCGAGGAAGGCGGGGAUGACGUCAAAUCAGCACGGCCCUUACAUCCGGGGCGACACACGUGUUACAAUGGCGUGGACAAAGGGAAGCCACCUGGCGACAGGGAGCGAAUCCCCAAACCACGUCUCAGUUCGGAUCGGAGUCUGCAACCCGACUCCGUGAAGCUGGAUUCGCUAGUAAUCGCGCAUCAGCCAUGGCGCGGUGAAUACGUUCCCGGGCCUUGUACACACCGCCCGUCAAGCCAUGGGAGCCGGGGGUACCUGAAGUGCGUAACCGCGAGGAUCGCCCUAGGGUAAAACUGGUGACUGGGGCU
rnacentral:rRNA from 1 species